rnacentral:rRNA from 1 species
UAAUUGAAGAGUUUGAUCAUGGCUCAGAUUGAACGCUGGCGGCAGGCCUAACACAUGCAAGUCGAGCGGUAACAGGAGAAAGCUUGCUUUCUUGCUGACGAGCGGCGGACGGGUGAGUAAUGUAUGGGGAUCUGCCCGAUAGAGGGGGAUAACUACUGGAAACGGUG